rnacentral:rRNA from 1 species
AUACGGAGGCUGCGAGCGUUAUCCGGAUUUAUUGGGUUUAAAGGGAGCGUAGGUGGGAUAUUAAGUCAGCUGUGAAAGUUUGGGGCUCAACCUUAAAAUUGCAGUUGAUACUGGUUUCCUUGAGUACGGUACAGGUGGGCGGAAUUCGUGGUGUAGCGGUGAAAUGCUUAGAUAUCACGAAGAACUCCGAUCGCGAAGGCAGCUCACCGGGCCGGAACUGACACUGAUGCUCGAAAGUGCGGGUAUCAAACAGGAUUAGAUACCCUGGUAGUCCGCACAGUAAACGAUGAAUACUCGCUGUUUGCGAUACACUGUAAGCGGCCAAGCGAAAGCGUUAAGUAUUCCACCUGGGGAGUACGCCGGCAACGGUGAAACUCAAAGGAAUUGACGGGG